AAAAACGGACGGCCCAGAUUAAAACAAAAUGGACGGCUGAGAUCAAAGGGCAAGGGGUUAUAAAUAGAACCCCUACACCAGACCACAAACCCUAGCCGCCUGCCGCUCGCCGGAGAAGACGAACCAGAGGCCGACCGCCGCCACCCGCCGCCGCACCGGGGAAAUUUCCGACCGCUGAUCGAGGUAAAUUUCAUACCCCCGACUCGUUUUUCCACGCUGAUUCCUCCUAUGGCCAAAUCGAAGCCAAAAUCCUGGCCAAACGGCCGGAAUACGCUGCCGAAGACCAGCGGCGCCGCCGCGCCUCCUCUCGAUUUUUGCCUCCGACGGGGCCCUUCCCGGCCUCCGUUUGAUGCAAUUUUUAUAUCACCAUGAUCACCAUUCUUUUCUCUACAGGUUGACCGGAGCCGAAUCACCAAAACACGAACCUCGCCGGAGAGCCGCCGCACCCGAGAGCACCGCCGCC
rnacentral:lncRNA from 1 species